UUCACUCCUGAAAUGGCUGCAAUGGCCAGCGCUGGGCCAGGCCAAAACCAGAAGCUUCUUCAAGGUCUCCCAUUUAAGUGCAGAAGCCCAAGGACCUAGGUCAUCCUCUGCUGCUUUCCCAAGUGCAUUAGCAGGGAGUCAGAUUGGACGUGGAGGAGCCAGGACUUGAAUCGAUGCCAAUAUGGGUUCCUGGUGCUGCAGGCUUUAGCUUAACCUGCUAUGCCAUGGUGCCAGCCCCAAGAUAUCAAUUUCAUUCAUACACAGUAAACUUUAAAAUAAUCAUAGAUCAUUAAAAUUAUAGCAUAUUAUUCUUUAAAAAAUAAAUUCAAAAUAUUACAAACACAGCAAAAUAUGAAUCUUUAGGUUAUGUACAUAUAAAAACAUCAAUCUAGAUUCAGGUUCUAUCUUCCAGAGUCUAUACUAAUGCUUAGAAUAAAAUAGUCAUGUAGGAAAUAUUUUUGGAACAUAUCAGCAAAGGAACAGAGGGUACAGCAGGAGACUUGAUUUGGAAAGAUGGUGAGUAAAUGCUUUCCUUAUACUUUCAUCACAGAUCAGAAGAUAACAAGUAGCUUUCUGGAUGAAAAACAUCAGGGUAUAUUAAAAUCCCGAGAGAAAAGAAAGCAAGGCACAGAGUAACACUCCUGGGUCGAUAAGGUGAUAUAUCAAAAUAGAGAAAAGUGGAGAUGAAGACCAGAAUGACAUAAUUUUGAGUCCUCUAGACCUAAUUCAAGACUUUUAGUUUCAUUCAAAUUGCAGUGGAGAUAUUUGAUGGUACUAAUUUGAACACAUCAUUCCAUGCUUCCUGGAGUAAUCACACAGCUUGCUUAGAUUUUCUAAACAUGACUGAACUGUGAUGAAGCGAUCAACAUUAACUGCCAAGGUAUUCAGUAAAUUACUUUUUUAUUCAUAAAUUAUUCUUUCUGGUGAAACACUUUUAUCACAGUUGAAAUGAGGGUCGGCAAAUCCCUAUAAAGAUUUGUUACACUUUUAAAUGCAUGCCAGUUUUUGGUGACUCUUUAGUAUAUUCCAUUAAGAAUAUGAAAUGUAUAUACAAAGUAGUUUUGUAUUAACUUCUGAAUAUUAGCAGCCUCUCUUGGUAGGAUUCUGAUCCUGGUUAAGUACACUAACAUGGAAGACCAAGUUUCAUUAUUUAUUUUAUUUACUACUAUUUAUUUUGAUCUUCAAACACAUAUACUCUAUUUGUUAAGCAAAACAGAAAUCUCAAAAUUUAUAUUUAUGUAUUAUAAGCCUUACAAGAGUAUCAAUAUAAUCUUUUCCAGCUUAUAAUAAAUAGUUCUCUUUCUGGAGAUUUUAAAUAAUCUACAUUUUAAAAAUACUAGGUACAUAAAUAUAAUCUAAGCACAAACAAAAGUACAGUUUGAUAACACUAACACGUAUAACUCAAUGUAAUAUUUGAAGUUCCUGAAAAGUGCAAAGCACAUUUCAGCACUGCAGAUACAAGUUCAGCACUAAUGAGUUAAAUCAACACUAUUUACUGUACAUUCACACUGAAUGUUAUGGGUGUGUUAAGAAUCUUAAGGUGUAGGCCAGUGCCACGGCUCACUAAGCUAAUCCUCUGCCUGCGGCGCCAGCACACUGGGUUCUAGUCCCAGUCGGGGUGCUGGUUCUGUCCCGGUUGUUCCUCUUCCAGUCCAGUUCUCUGCUGUGACCUGGGAAGGCAGAGGAGGAUGGCCCAAGUGCUUGGGCCCUGGACCCGCAUGGGAGACCAGGAGGAAGCACCUGGCUCCUGGCUUCAGAUUGGCACAGUGCGCCAGCCAUAGCGGCCAUUUUGGGGGCGAACCAAUGGGAGGAAGACCUUUUUGUCUCUCUAUCUCACUGUCUAACUCUGCCUGUCAAAAAAAAAAAAAAAGAAGAAGAAGAAGAAGAACCUUAAUGUGUAAAUUCUUGUAUGUGUGUGUAUAUAUAAUAGUGUGAAAUAUGUAUAUAAUAUAUAUUCUAUUAGCUGAACUAUAUAUAUAGCUUAUAUAUAACCAGCUCAACCCCAAAUAUGUGAUAACAGCAGGAAAAUCUAAUUGGAGGGAGAAGAUCUAGAUGUUGUAAUUGAAAGAAAAAAUUAUAACUCAGUAGAGAUGUGGAAGAGAGAUGUUCAAGUAGGAAGAGCAUGGGGACAGAUAAAAAUGUCAACAAAAUGUUUGUCAAGAGUGGAGUGGUAUGCUAGACUAAAGAAAAAUAACCCAAGGAGUAUUAAGGGGAAAAAAAGGCUAUCAGGUACAGUUUUAUUGAGAGAGCUGGUAGAAAUUUGAGAGAGAAUUUUAGAUUAUGUUUACUCUACAGACAACAGAAUACAAUUGAUGGAGAUUAUUAGGUGAUGUGUAACCUUAAAGAAAAUCCGAACCUUAAUAUAUCUUGUUAUUAUGGAAGGUAAAUUUGAAGGGAAGUGGUUAGAUAUUAUAUAUGUGAAAUACAAUAUAGAAUACAAAAAAUCAUUAAAAAUGCAUCUUUAAAAUACAAAGAGAUAUUGGUGGAAUAUGAUGAUUACUAGGUAGAGAUAAAACAGAAAUAAAAAACUGAAUGGUUCCAGAUAUUAGGUUAAUAAACAAAAAUGUAGGUUGCAUUUGGCUCUGAGUGCUAUAACAAACAAUAAAAAAAGCAAAUCAGGAUUGUAAAUCUCUGUGAUAAUGAAUAAAGACAAAGUAAUGGAACAAAAAAUAAUAAUUUCAAGUUUUGAAAUCAAAGACAUAGGUCUCCUGAAAAUGAUGAAAAGAAGACACCAUGUAAUCUAAUGAACACUGUCUUCAACAUCCUUACAUAGUAAAUAGUGCACAUGUUAAACUUGGCUCUCUUUUAUAAAGUCUUUCAAUGUAGGUGUGUGAAAUAAUUCUCAAACACUUUUGAUAAAAUGUUUUCUCCAGGGGCCGGCGCUGUGGCAUAGCGGGUAAAGCUGCUGCCUGCAGUGGGGGCAUCCCAAAUCCCAUCCAGCUCUCUGCUAUGGUCUGGGAAAGCAGUAGAAGAUGGUCCAAGUGCUUGGGCCCCUGCACCCACGUGGGAGACCCGGAAGAAGCUCCUGGCUUCGGAUUGGCGCAGCUCCGGCUAUGGCGGUGAACUGGGGAGUGAACUAGCAGAUGGAAGACCUCUCUCUCUGUCCCUCCUCUCUCUGUAUAACUCUGCCUUUCAAAUAAAUAAGUAAAUCUUUUUUUUUUGCCUGCCUUUCUUUUAAAAUUAUUAUUUUAUUUCAAAGUCAGAGUUACAGAGAGGCAGAGGUGGAGAGGGGGAGAGAAGGGGUUGAGGGGGAGAGGUCUUCCAUCUGCUGCUUCACUCCCCAAAUAGCCGCAACAGCAGAAGUUGAGCCAAUCCGAAGCCAGGAGCCAGGAGCUUCCUGCAGGUCUCCCACAUGGAUGAAGGGGGCCAAGGAUUUGGGGCAUCUUCUAUGGCUUUCCCAGGCCAUAGCAUAGAGCUGGAUUGGAAGUGGAGCAGCUAGGUCUUGAACCGAGUUCAUAUGGGUCACUGGCACCACAGCUGGUGGCUUUACCCACUAUGCCACAGUGCUGGCCAUAUAUAAAUCUUUAAAAAAAUCUUAUAAUAGAAGUUUAUUUCACUUGCAUGAAAGAGAACUAAGAAAUUACCCAUAAAUAGGACUAAUACUUGGUAAAAUUUUAAGUAUAUGUUCCAAAGCAUAUAUAUUCUGGGGCCCAAAGUUCUGUAGAAUUAGCUAUAAUUUUGAUCUUUACACUUAGUAUUAUUGAAUACAAAAGUAUAUUGUGAAACUUUGGUAAAACUUUUAGGAAAAAAUAAGUAACUUUCACUAUAAAGAAAAAUGGAGGUAACUUGAUUUAUACAGUCAUUAGUUAUGACAGGUCUAUACAGAAAGUCAUCACAUAAAAAUAUGAAAUAACAACUUGAUUUGAAUUAGUUUAUCUCAAAUAGUUCUUAAGAAAGUAAUCAGAGAACAUAAUUGUCUGUUAGGACCUUUCCUAUAACUUCUGGAGACCAAAUUGACCUACUGACAGUGAUGAGGAAAUUAAAAAGACAUGCUACUUUCUAUGGAUUCACAUGUAAAUGAAUAUAAACAUGUUAGUAUUAUGCAUUACCAUGGAUCAAUAGAGUUGUCUUGGGAGAAGUUAUGUUCACAUAAGAGAUCAGGUAAAACCAAUUCAGAAAUAACUAUACAUACAGGCAGUUAAAUUCAUGAGUCAAUAAGCAGUUGAGGGUAAUUUAUAACAUCAGAACAGCAAAUGAUGAAGAACUGAAUCUCUCAUCAGUAGUUAAUGGACACUGACACAGAAAAGGUAAAAAAGGCUGAUACUUAAUAAAUAUUUAUUUAAAAAAUAAAAAAAAAUUAAUGAAUGGGUAGACAGAUGCAUGGAUGAAGGGAUGGACAAAUGGAUUUUAAGAAGAAAAGUGUCACCCUUGCUGACUGUAAAUGGAUCUUACUUAAAAACAAUUUUUAUCUUCUAAAGAUUAUUGCUAUAGCUAUACAGGAAACUUUUAUUUAUUAAAAUAUAAAAGAGAAAUCUUGGGUAUAAAUUUUUAAAAAAGACCUAUGAUAAAGAAUAAAGUAUUGGGUUUUUCAGGGAUUUCAUGCGAUGGAAGAGAAAGAAAGACACACAGACACAGACACACAGACACACACACAUACACACACACACACACUCAUUACAGGAGAAAAGUUCAAAGGAUAAUUGAUAUUGGAGAAUGUGUUGAGCAAAGCAUCCAGCAAUGAAAAUUCCUGGUUCCCAAAAGAUGUUUAAGAAUAAAAAUAUCUAAUGAUCAAUUUAAACCCUUCUUUAUAGCCAUCACGAAAUGUUCAUCAGAGCUAUAAUAAACAAGAAUGCUUGGUGUAACCAGAAUUUUUGCAAAAAUCACAAGGGAGUUCAAAUUCAUAUUUUGGGCCAGGGCCACAGCUCAAUAGGCUAAUCCUCCACCUAGCAGCGCUGGCACACCGGGUUCUAGUCCCGGUCGGGGCGCCAGAUUCUGUCCCGGUUGCCCCUCUUCCAGGCCAGCUCUCUGCUGUGGCCCGGGAGUGCAGUGGAGGAUGGCCCAAGUGCUUGGGCCCUGCACCCGCAUGGGAGACCAGGAGAAGCACCUGGCUCCUGGCU